AGAUGCCGCAUUUUGUGUAGAACACAAUGUGCUGAGGUAUCUCAGCAGGUCAGGCAGCAUCUCUGGAGAACAUAGGUAGGUAACGUUUC